rnacentral:rRNA from 1 species
CUUUUUGAGUAUAAUUUAAAGUCUGACCUGCCCACUGAAAUUUUUAAAUGGCCGCGGUAUAUUGACCGUGCAAAGGUAGCAUAABCAUUUGUUUCUUAAUUGGAAGCUGGAAUGAAAGGUUGAAUAAGAAAAUAACUGUCUCUGCUUAAUUUUAUUAGAAUUUUAUUUUUAAGUAAAAAAGCUUAAAUAUUUUUUGAAGACGAGAAGACCCUAUAGAGUUUUAUAAUUAAAAUAUUUAGGUGGUUUAGGAUUUAUGUAAUUUAAGUAUUUAUAUUAUUGAAUUGGGGUGAUUGAAAAAUUAAUUAAACUUUUUUUUUAUUUUACCAUUUAUUUAUGAUUAAUUGAUCCUUUUAAAGAUUAUAAGAUUAAAUUACCUUAGGGAUAACAGCGUUAUUUUUUUUUAGAGUUCAAAUCAAAAAAAAAGAUUGCGACCUCGAUGUUGGAUUAAAGUUUAUUUUUGGUGUAGAGGCUAAA